rnacentral:rRNA from 1 species
AUGGCCACGAAGCACCCCCACGGGGACGCUGAUCCGUCCACUUCGCCUCCGCCGCCGCCGAGCCGCCGCCCGCGCGGCUUCGCCUCCGCCUCCACCCCCGCGGCGCCUCCUCCCCCGGGGCGGCGGCGCGGCGAGCGGGAGAGGGAGCGGGAGAAGGAGCGGACGAAGCUGCGGGAGCGGCAACGGCGCGCCAUCACCAGCCGCAUGCUGGCCGGGCUGCGGCAGCACGGCAACUUCCCCCUCCCCGCCCGCGCCGACAUGAACGACGUUCUCGCCGCGCUCGCCCGCGCCGCCGGGUGGACCGUCCACCCCGACGGCACCACCUUCCUCUCCUCUCCCCAGCCCUCUCUCCCUCCCCCUGCCCAAUUCCAGGGUGCUUUCCAGGCUACUUCUCUGGAAACCCCAGUUUUUACCAACUCUCUGAACAGCUACGCCAUUGGGACGCCAAUAGAUUCCCAGGCUUCAGCCCUACAAACAGAUGAUAGCCUGUCACCGUCGUCAUUGGAUUCAGUGGUGGUGGCAGAGCAAAGCAUAAAGAAUGAGAGCUAUGGGAAUUCAAGUUCAGCCAAUUCUUUGAAUUGUAUGGGAAGUGAUCAGCUGUUGAGAGCAUCAGCAGUAUGGGCGGGUGAUUUCACGAAAACUCCAUAUAUACCAGUGUACGCCUCUUUGUCUAUGGGCAUUAUCAAUUGUUAUUGCCAAUUGGUUGAUCCUGAGGCUGUACGCGCUGAACUAAGGCAUCUGAAGUCUUUGAAUGUUGAUGGAGUUGUUGUAGACUGUUGGUGGGGGAUUGUGGAAGCCUGGACUCCUCAAAAGUAUGAAUGGUCUGGCUACAGGGACCUUUUUGGUAUUAUUAAAGAGUUCAAGCUAAAAGUUCAGGUUGUAUUGUCAUUUCAUGGGUCUGGGGAGUGUGGAUCUGGUGGUGUGUUAAUUGCUCUCCCUAGGUGGGUAAUUGAAAUUGCACAAGAGAACCAAGAUAUAUUUUUCACUGAUCGAGAAGGUAGGAGGAAUACAGAAUGCCUUUCCUGGGGAAUUGACAAAGAGCGAGUCCUUCGAGGGAGAACUGGCAUUGAGGUUUAUUUUGAUUUCAUGAGGAGCUUUCAUAUGGAAUUCAGAAGCUUAUCUGAAGAGGGUCUUAUUUCUGCUAUUGAGGUUGGAUUGGGUGCUUCUGGAGAGCUAAGAUACCCUUCGUGUCCAGAAAAAAUGGGCUGGAGAUAUCCUGGUAUUGGCGAGUUUCAGUGUUAUGACAGGUAUAUGCAAAAGAACCUACGGCAAUCAGCCUUGACACGGGGGCAUUUGUUUUGGGCCCGUGGGCCUGAUAAUGCUGGCUACUAUAAUUCAAGGUCACAUGAGACUGGCUUUUUUUGUGACGGAGGUGAUUAUGACAGCUACUAUGGGCGUUUCUUCCUUAAUUGGUAUUCUGGAAUCCUCAUAGAUCAUGUGGAUCAGGUGCUCUCACUUGCUACUCUUGCAUUUGAUGGAGCAGCAAUUGUGGUGAAGAUCCCCUCCAUCUAUUGGUGGUACAGAACUGCAAGCCAUGCUGCAGAGCUUACUGCAGGAUUCUACAACCCUACAAAUCGAGAUGGAUACUCUCCAGUUUUCAGAAUGCUCAAGAAGCAUUCCAUAAUUCUUAAAGUGGUUUGUUAUGGCCCAGAAUUUACAGUUCAGGAGAAUGAUGAAGCAUUUGCUGACCCAGAAGGUUUAACCUGGCAGGUUAUGAACGCAGCAUGGGAUCAUGGUCUAUCUGUAAGUGUAGAGAGUGCUCUUCCAUGUCUUGACGUGGACAUGUACUCUCGGAUCCUUGACACAGCGAAGCCGAGGAAUGAUCCUGACCGUCACCAUCUCUCAUUCUUUGCAUACCGUCAGCGAACUCCGUUCCUUUUGCAGAGAGAUGUGUGCUUCUCAGAGCUUGAGACCUUUGUAAAGUGCAUGCACGGGGAGGCUACCCAGAACUUUGUAGAUUGA